AGAAGAUGGAACAGAUGUGUGUCAGUGCACCAGCCUUGAUGAAGCCUUCAUAACAGCCUUGUGGAUGUAUUUUGCUUUCAACAUUGCAUAUCCACCACACCUGAGAAAGACACUGACUUUCCUUCAAAGGCACAUUGUCAACAUUAGAAGACGAGACAAGCACUGUAUGGUUGACUGGAAGUCUGUCAGUCCAGAUGUGAGUAGGACACACAGAGUGGAGUUGGAGCUCAGCAGAUGUGUGAUGCUGUAGAUACUGUGGUCUUGGAAAGAAGGGCAUCUUCACAGCUUUCUAUUCAGACAAAGAGUUUGCUGAAUUCUGUUCUAUGGACUGCUACUACAGAAUGAAUUAAUUAAUGAAUGAGUGGUUUAUCUAUCUAUCUAUCUAUCUAUCUAUCUAUCUAUCUAUCUAUCUAUCUAUCUAUCUAUCUAUCUAUCUAUCUAUCUAUCUAUCUAUCUAUCUAUCUAUCUAUCUUUUUACUUGAAUUGGUGACUGAAACUGAAAGCUAAAUAAAUGUUUUAGUGGAUAAA